AUUUACCUGGGAAGUUCGCCUUUUUAUCAUAUGCGAACCGAACAAGAAAAUAUCGGAAGUCGAGGCAUAUUUGGUGUCGAAAGCUUAUCUUUGAAUAAGAAUCCCGAAAAUAUGCAGAUUAGAGACAUCCACUCUGUGAAAUCGGUGGUUUCACAAAGAAUAAUAACGGCUUCCUGGGGAAUCU
rnacentral:other from 1 species